rnacentral:rRNA from 1 species
UUUCCGUAGGUGAACCUGCGGAAGGAUCAUUAGAAGAAUAUGUACCAAGCUUCAUUGUAAGCCAGGAGUUACAGUUCUAACACACUCUGCGUAUUGUUCCUGUUGCUUCCGUGGGGUGGAGCUUGUCACUGGCAGCUCUGGCCAGCCGGUUGGUUGGUUUCCACGGGAGGUAUUCUACAAACUAUUUGCAUUUAUUUUGCUUUCUGUCUGAAUCAUGUUAAUAACAAAUGUUAAAACUUUCAACAACGGAUCUCUUGGUUCUCGCAUCGAUGAAGAACGCAGCGAAAUGCGAUAAGUAGUGUGAAUUGCAGAAUUCAGUGAAUCAUCGAAUCUUUGAACGCACAUUGCGCCUCCUGGUAUUCCGGGAGGCAUGCCUGUCCGAGCACAAAGCGAAGAGGAUCUGGACGCCCCCAAGGUCGCCCAGGUCAGUUCUGAAGGCUGAGUGUUGCCCAUGUGCUCAUUCACCUUUGAAAUUUACAGGCGGGCGGCUUCAUGUCCUUUCUCAGCGUCAUAGGUAAACUCUUUCGCUAGGACUUGAUAGUCUGUCCUGCCUUAAAACCCCCCAUUUACCAAAAAAAUCUGUCGCGAAUCAGGUAGGGAUACCCGCUGAACUUAAGCAUAUCAAUA